GUCAGGGGUUAGCAAGAGACUAGUGCUGCCUCCAGCAGUCACACUCAGCAGAAGUCACAUGUGGGGAACCCCAAGGCUCAAUCCUGGGAUCGGGCUGUAGCUCAGGUUAUAACAAGAAGUAAGAUCAGCUAUCAUAGCUACGCAGAUGGUACACAGCUCUACAUUACAAGGUCACCGGGUGGCGCCGAACCCAUCCAAGCACUGAUCAGAUGCUUAGAUGCCAUAACCUUCUCCAGCUGAACAGAAACAAAACUGAAGUUACUAGCAUUUGACCUGGACGAGGAACAAUCUAUCUAGAGUCAACACACAGCUGCAGUUAUUGCAGCUAGAAAAUAGCGAUCAGACCAGAAAUCUGGGCGCAGUGAUGGACUCAGACCUGGACCUUCAGAGUAACAUAAAGACAGUGACAAAGUUGGCCUUCGAUCACCUGAAGAACAUUUCCAGGAGUAAAGAACUGACGUCCCCUGUCCACCCACUAGACUAAGCAAUCUCAGUGAGAAUUUGAUUUAGUUUCUUUUUGACGUAUUGUUGUGCGUCACAGACAGGAAGCUCUCCUGCGGCCUGUCUGUUAUCUUUUAGACACCUUUCAGCUUGUCAGUGAGCUUCUGCAGAAGCCUGACGAUUAUCGAGAGAUUUCAUUUCCAUGCAUUACCAAAGGAAAACGUGUAGGAGCAGAGGCUAGGCAUUGAAAUAUUGACCUUUCCCCCCCAUCUUUCUGCUCCUGAGGAUUGUAAACAGCAUGCCUUGGAUCCUUUCAGACUGAUUCUUAGCAAAACAUUUACAUUGCCUACAAACAGUGUUCACCCACUUGGAUGCUUUACCGUCUUAUUCCUUUUACAAAUCAAUCAUGAUUUGCUAUUUAAUUUUUUAAAAAAUGCACAAAAGAACCCUUUAAUGUUAAAGGCAUUUCUUUGUCUCCUGUGGAAAACAAUUAAACAAGCGCGCAAAUUUGCUGCUAUUAGGACUUUCCCACAUUCAGGAAAUUCCUCAGACACCAUCCACUGCGACCGCUGCCGUUGCGAACGCCACGCUGUUCAGCUGUGGUCUCCCAAGUUCUCUCCUAAAAGCUUCGCAAUUAUCCACAAAUGGAGUUUUCCGUUGUGGUUGGAACAUGUGUUUCUGGAAUGUCAUUUGGAGAGAAAAAAAGAAAGAAGAAGUGGAACAAAAAAUGAAGACCGUUUCCAUUAUGGUCAACAUCCGUGACCAGCAAACCUCUCGGGAAAGAAAAGUUCAUCCUCUCACUUCUCCAGAACCGGUGACUCACCUCAAACCCACAACCUCUCCAGGACCUGACUUCCACACCAGAAUCCAUUUUGCCUCCUCCAGCGCAUGCAAACCACCAUCAAGACUGUAAGCUCAUUCCCCCUAAAAGCAAUCCACCUUGCAAUCAUCCCUCAAACGUCCAGUGUCCUGUUCAGAGAAAAGAGCAUCUCUAGCUGCACAUUUUCAUAUUUUGUAUAUACUGUUACUAAAACCUCGGUUUACUGCAUUCGAGUGUGCUUCUGCAUACAAGUCAGGAAAUUGCCUGCGAACAUGACAAAGGUAAGACCAUGGACGGGGAGGGGAUCCAAUGCAAAGGUAAAACCUCUCAGGAGAAAACAUGCUUUUCAAUGAUUUACAAGGCUAACGGCAAAUUGACCAGGGGCUCAAUAGACAGUGAAGAGGGAAAAACUACGGGACUCAACCAUACGAAUGAUGGGUAUCAGCUGAUUACCAUCAAUAACCUGCAGUGACACUGAAGUAGGAAGUAAACUCAUCUGCAAGUAUGAGAUAAAAACAAACUACUGGCAUAAAAUAGAUGCAUAGGAAUAGAAAAAUUCCUAUGAAAGCUCAUCUUUAGCCGUGCUCAGACUGCCGUGCUGCGACAGACUGGCGACCUGUCCGGGGUGACCCCCGCCUCUCGCUCAAAACGUUAGCUGGAGAUAGACACCAGACCUCCUGACCCCACUAGGGACAAGGGUGUUAGAAAAUGAAUGGAUGGCUGGAUGAAUAUCAAUUGCCCAAGUUGGGAUACGAAUAAAAAUGAAUCUGAAUACCCAAUCUGAUCACCAGUUUUGGGGAUGUUCAAAAAAUUCUGCAGCAUGAGCGCCUCACCCUGUAUACCAAACACGUCCACUACUGCCAGAGAAUCAACACGGCUGCUACUUAGAUACUGCAGCAAUAAGGUAAUGCUUACUUAAGGCAAAGCUAUGGAGACACUUUCCUCACCUGAUGAUGCUUGGUGCUUGAAACAGAAAACUAUGAUGGCAAUACUUACUGUACGACUAAAAACUGUCUGUAUAAAAUAGUAAUGCUACUAAAAAUACACCAUUCAAUCUCUAGUGAGACUUAACACAACCCAAUAACAUUAAAAGUCCAUUUUAAUAGACUUUUAAUGUCAGGUAAUACCAGUUAAAUAUGGUACAAGUUGUUUUCCUUAAACUUUUAUUUCUCAAAGUUUAUAUUUACCUUUCUGUGUUUAAAAGACCGUUGCUUUUAGGGCUUGAGGGUUUAAGUGUAUUAAUUAUUUGGAAAACUUCCUUCAAACACAAAGGUUCUGGUAGAAAUUGACGGUAAAAAAUUUUUUUUAAUCCAUUCUGCGCAAGCUCUAGCUGCUUAUUCCCUGUUUGUCCAGUAUGGUAUAUUUAGAAACAAAAUUUUAAAAUAUAGGAAAUCAUGUGAACAGCUUUUAUCUGCUGGGAAUAUCUCCGAGUGGAGGACCCGUUUGACUCCCGACGUCAGUCUGGAUUUUGGGUCUCAUUUAAAGCAGGUUGUGUUAUGCAAGUUGUUGAGGAGAGGAACUCGUUGGCUUGAGGGUGGAGUGUUCCUGUCCAACACAAACAGGUUGUGAAGUGCUGCUGUGCAGAGGGCGAUUAGCAGGCUGAAGAGCCACUUCUCUACCCAGCAGUUGCGUCAGUGUUUAUUCCUGCAGAGGACUAAAAUGAGUGUCUUCGCCCACGUUGCUGUUCAGCGCCACAAUUUCACAAGUGAAAGGCUGCCUUUGUACGCGCUUCUGUGAAGCACCAGCACCUUCUCCUCCACCACAAGUCCGUGUGACCUCAGAGGAAUGAAAAGCUGUUGGGAGGGGGGUUUCCUCUAGCAUGCAAACUUUUCUCCAGAGAUGUUGUGACGGCUUAUCUGGAAAGAGCAACUCUAUAUUUGGAAGUCCAAUUCAUAACCAAAAGACAGCAGAGUCGUUUUAGUGGAGCAAGAAAAAUUCACAUUUCUGAUGACUUUUGUCUCUUACUGUCUCUGUCUUGAAAUGAGCACAUAACAGUUCUGUUUGGUUGAUAAAUGUCACGAGCAAUGCCAUUAUGAGAGGACAGACAUUUGCCUUCAACAACAAGCAAACUUAAUAAAUUGACUCCCAAUAGCUGCAGCUGGAACCCCGCCUCUCGCCUGGAAAGUUAGCUGGAGAUAUAGGCACCAGCACCCCUCCUGACCCCACUAGAGACAAGGGUGUUAGAAAAUGGAUGGAUGGAUGGAUGGAUAGCUGCAGGUGUCCAAGGUGAGCAUAUGCCCGAUCAUUAGUACCAGCUGUCGUAAAACUGGCUAGGAAAAAAGUUAGAAAACUUUAGAAAAAAGUUAGGAUUCUGUGCAAGUUUUCGGACCACGGUGACAGAAGACCGUCGCUCUGCUCCACUGCUGCCCAAAAAAGCCCAGGAUGAUGUUUUUUGUUCCUUUUAGAAGUCAGUAGACGUCUGACUAAACUGUCUUUUGCAAGUGUUUGCUGUGUCCAAAGUCUGUCCUUGAGGCCCGGCGUCCUCCAUGUUUUAGUUUUCUCCCCCGGUUCAACACAAGUGGAUGAAAAGGUAGUUACUACCACCAGGGAGAGAACCAAGGCAUGAAGGACGCCGGCCCUCCAGGAUCGACUUUGGACAACCCUGUUUAAAGUUGGUGUAAAGCAUUUCCUCCUGCAUUUCUCAAAGUUGAGUCAACUUUCACUUUGUUGACCUUGAAAUAUGUAGAUCUCUCCAAUAAUCCCAGGGAACAAGAAAGAGGGCUGGAUGCCAGGAACUGGUUUCUACCAGGAAAACCAACAACUAUCAAAACUCCAAAGAACACUUUAAGCAGAAGUCACACCCUGGAGUGUGAGGUCAGGAGAAACACACACAUACACACACCAACCUACCCACAGCCUUGUGGAUUUGACUCUUGGACGAAAGAAUUAAAAAUGAAUAUUCACAGGCACCUUUCAUCCAAUCAGACACAGAUUGUGCUGAGUUGUGAAGAAUAAUGGGCAAAGAUUUGAGUCUCUCCGUGCGCCGUUGUGUCUGGAUGCGCUAAGUUGAUGUACAGCGAACAAAAAAAACUUGUAGCUGUAAUUGCAACAAACGGUGUAGUCUGAACACUGUGGUUUUACAAAAUAAAAUGCUGCACUUUUUAGAUGAUUCCUUGGUAACAAGUGCUGAAAACCAUGCCUAAUUCUCUUAAUUGAUGGGACGUAAUUGUCUGCUUGAAGGCACUGUGGUUGAUAAAACACCCUUGAAGCAGUCGGUUACAGUAACUCAUCCCCGAAUCAAAAGACUGGUGAAACAGCUGAGGGAUCUGUGUUGAGGAUUGUGAGCUCCUUCAGAUUUCUAAACCUCCCACUUGGUGCAGAAGAGACUCCGCCGAGGCCUGAGAGGAGAAGGAAAAUCCAGUCUUGAGACGACUGUUUACUCUGCCCCACUCUGACCGAACACUGCAUCCAUUCAUCCAAAAGGAAACACUCUGGAUAAGCACACACACACACACACACACCCACACACACACACAAAAGUGUCUUUCUAUUUUCACAAUGGUUAUUUAUUGACUUUCAUUCAUUUCUACAGAUUAACUCCGACUCUUACCUUAAGCUUAACCAUUAUCAGUACACGCCUAACCCUAAACUCAAUUCACACCUUAGCCGUAAACCUAACCCCGGGCAGCGGACCUUGUAGGGGACCGCUGCCCUACAAGGCCCAUCGGUCUUCAGACAUUCUAGUGACUAUGCCAGAAAAUGUCUUAUAUGUAUUGUAAGAAUUUCAGAGUGCAGGGAGUAACGCUGAAGCAUACUCGUGGAAAAACCUUCUAACAAAUUUACCAACAUUUGUCCUCCUACCUGCUCAAAGAUGCUGCCAUUAUGUGCCAUCACUAAACAGCCCUGAAUCUGACCAAUCGUGAACUGAACUGGCCUCAGCUGAACUACAGCACCAGACUGAAUGAAUGGAUUAUUUCACCGCAGCUGGAGUGUGUUCCUCUCUCUCACACAAAGGAGCGUCUGUACCUCAGAUGCUGUGAAGGAAAAGUUGACGUGAACCUAGAGCCAGGUGUUUGAGGAGACUCGCAUGGGGCAGAAAAAGAAAAGACAGGCUGAUUUCCAGAGGUGACAAACAAGCCAGGAGCAGCAGCAGCUUCCAGUGUCACGAGACGUCUCCAUGUUGACGUCAAAAGUCAACCCGCAAGAAGAAGCAGAGAAGGCCAAGUGGUUCACUGGAGCUGGAAACGAGUUACGGCACUUUAAA